GCUCAGGGACACCUCGACACUGAGGAGGAGCCGGGGAUCAAACUGGCAACCUUGCUCUAACUCCUGAGCUCCUGUUUUUUUGGCCAAGUCUUGCUUGACUUAUAGGUUUCAAAAUCUCAAUGAGACAAUAACCUGCUUCAAUAAAGAACUGUCAUCAGUAGAGGAAAGUUGCAAACGUUUAGAGAGGAUUGUACUUAUUUUCCCCCGACGGUGGAUCAGUGACUGUGCCGCUAAUGCGGACAAAAACCGGUAUGUACGGUAACGGGACAAUCUUUACAAGUCCUUUGUUGUCCGAGAUGAUUCUCUUACUGCUCAGGGACCGCCCAGUCAUCGACUGACCCCGGUUAACGGUACUGGUCAAGGUCCCGGUUAAGGGUUAACCCCGUGUGUUUAGAGUCCAUGGGGAUGAGGUUAAGGUACAGGUUAAGGGUUAACCAGGUGUGUUUACCGUUGGAGUCCAUGGGGAGGAGGUUAAGGUACAGGUUAAGGGUUAACCAGGUGUGUUUACCGUUGGAGUCCAUGGGGAGGAGGUUAAGCAGUGUGAGGACCUCCACACACAGCCGGUGGUCCGAGCGCCGGUAAGAGAUGAGCAGCGUGACA
ensembl:lncRNA